GUCAUGCUCAGCAUUGUGUGAGCUAUGCUGGCAAGUACAAAGACCUGGAAACUGCAUAUUUAUUGUUCUAUUUAAGUAAUGAUAUCCAUUUCACCUAGGAAGAGAACGCUUGAAAAUGUGCUAUGAAUCAACUGGAAAAAGCCACUGUAAAGCAAUGUACAGCUGAAACUGGGAUGUAGAGAUGUGUGGUGGAGAAAGAGGAAGUGAAGUAACAUACUGAAAAAUAUUGCUGCACAGUGGUGGCACUAAUACAACAGAGGUUUCCUGGCCAGCUGCAACCCUUCGAAUCAAUGGGAGAGGAAAGUGACAAAAACAUCAAUCAAACAGGAAGAAGCUGUUAAGGCUGUUAACGCCCUUUCAGAUGAACAAUGAUUUCCACGGGGAUUUAAAUAAAUAUUCAUGAAAAGGACCAAUGACAGAAAUUUCACCAAAACUACACCAUGUUUUGAGACAGAGUCUCACUAUAUAUCCCUAGUUGGUCUAGAACUCUCUACAUAGACCAAGACAGCUUUGAACUUGCAGUGAUCCCUCUGCUUCCCGAAUGCCAGGAUUACAGGAACUCUAAACUCUUGAAGCAUUUCCCAUCUAAUCGGCACCCUCUGUAUGCUGCUAGUAACUCAACAUGUGUGAGCCUUGAGGAAGCAGCUGAGCACAAGUUAACAGACUGAUGACUGGACUACAGCCUAUGCAUCCAUGAGACUGGCUGACUGGACUACAGCCUGUGCAUCCA